UACGGGGGGGGCAAGCGUUGUUCGGAUUUACUGGGCGUAAAGGGCGCGUAGGCGGCGCAACAAGUCACUUGUGAAAUCUCCGGGCUUAACCCGGAGCGGUCAAGUGAUACUGUCGUGCUAGAGUGCGGAAGGGGCUACUGGAAUUCUCGGUGUAGCGGUGGAAUGCGCAGAUAUCAGGAGGAACACCGGUGGGCGAAAGGCGGC
rnacentral:rRNA from 1 species